rnacentral:rRNA from 1 species
AACGAACGCUGGCGGCAUGCCUAACACAUGCCAGUCGAACGAGACCUUCGGGUCUAGUGGCGCACGGGUGCGUAACGCGUGGGAACCUGCCCUUAGGUUCGGAAUAACUCCCCGAAAGGGGUGCUAAUACCGGAUAAUGUCUUCGGACCAAAGAUUUAUCGCCUUUGGAUGGGCCCGCGUUGGAUUAGCUAGUUGGUAGGGUAAAAGCCUACCAAGGCGACGAUCCAUAGCUGGUCUGAGAGGAUGAUCAGCCACACUGGGACUGAGACACGGCCCAGACUCCUACGGGAGGCAGCAGUGGGGAAUAUUGGACAAUGGGCGAAAGCCUGAUCCAGCAAUGCCGCGUGAGUGAUGAAGGCCUUAGGGUUGUAAAGCUCUUUUACCCGGGAUGAUAAUGACAGUACCGGGAGAAUAAGCUCCGGCUAACUCCGCG